AUACGGAUGGUGCGAGCGUUGUUCGGAAUUACUGGGCGUAAAGGGCGCGUAGGCGGUGAUGUAAGUCAAAUGUGAAAGUCCUCGGCUUAACCGGGGAAGUGCAUCUGAAACUGCAUUGCUUGAGUAUGGGAGAGGAAAGUGGAAUUCCCGGUGUAGAGGUGAAAUUCGUAGAGAUCGGGAGGAAUACCGGUGGCGAAGGCGACUUUCUGGACCAAUACUGACGCUGAGGCGCGAAAGCGUGGGGAGCAAACAGGAUUAGAAACCCUAGUAGUCC
rnacentral:rRNA from 1 species